UACGGAAGGCAGCAGUGGGGAAUAUUGCACAAUGGGCGCAAGCCUGAUGCAGCCAUGCCGCGUGUAUGAAGAAGGCCUUCGGGUUGUAAAGUACUUUCAGUCGUGAGGAAGGUGUUAAGGUUAAUAACCUUAGCAAUUGACGUUAGCGACAGAAGAAGCACCGGCUAACUCCGUGCCAGCAGCCGCGGUAAUACGGAGGGUGCGAGCGUUAAUCGGAAUUACUGGGCGUAAAGGGCACGCAGGCGGUUAAUUAAGUUGGAUGUGAAAUCCCCGGGCUUAACCUGGGAAUGGCAUUCAAGACUGGUUAGCUAGAGUCUUGUAGAGGGGGUAGAAUUCCAUGUGUAGCGGUGAAAUGCGUAGAGAUGUGGAGGAAUACCGGUGGCGAAGGCGGCCCCUGGACAAAGACUGACGCUCAUGUGCGAAAGCGUGGGGAGC
rnacentral:rRNA from 1 species